UCCUAGCCCCGAUUGCAGUGAAAAUCCUUUUUGGUAAAAAAGAUUGCAACGAAAAGCGGGAAAUAGC
rnacentral:sRNA from 1 species